UACAGAGGGGGCAAGCGUUAUUCGGAAUUAUUGGGCGUAAAGGGCGCGUAGGCGGCCUGGCAAGUGACGGGUGAAAGCCCUCGGCUUAACCGAGGAACUGCCUGUCAGACUGUUAGGCUUGAGACCGGGAGAGGUGAGUGGAAUUCCCAGUGUAGCGGUGAAAUGCGUAGAUAUUGGGAGGAACACCAGUGGCGAAGGCGGCUCGCUGGGACGUUACUGACGCUGAGACGCGAAAGCGUGGGGAGCAAACAGG
rnacentral:rRNA from 1 species